rnacentral:rRNA from 1 species
GUGUCAGCAGCCGCGGUAAUACCAGCACCCCGAGUGGUCGGGACGAUUAUUGGGCCUAAAGCAUCCGUAGCCGGUACUGCAAGUCUUCCGUUAAAUCCACCUGCUCAACAGUUGGGCUGCGGAGGAUACUACAGCGCUAGGAGGCGGGAGAGGCAAGCGGUACUCAGUGGGUAGGGGUAAAAUCCAUUGAUCCAUUGAAGACCACCAGUGGCGAAGGCGGCUUGCCAGAACGCGCUCGACGGUGAGGGAUGAAAGCUGGGGGAGCAAACCGGAUUAGAAACCCCCGUAGUCC